GAUGAACGCUGGCGGCGUGCCUAAUACAUGCAAGUCGAGCGAACAGACGAGGAGCUCGCUCCUCUGACGUUAGCGGCGGACGGGUGAGUAACACGUGGAUAACCUACCUAUAAGACUGGGAUAACUUCGGGAAACCGGAGCUAAUACCGGAUAACAUGUUGAACCGCAUGGUUCAACAGUGAAAGACGGUCUUGCUGUCACUUAUAGAUGGAUCCGCGCCGCAUUAGCUAGUUGGUAAGGUAACGGCUUACCAAGGCAACGAUGCGUAGCCGACCUGAGAGGGUGAUCGGCCACACUGGAACUGAGACACGGUCCAGACUCCUACGGGAGGCAGCAGUAGGGAAUCUUCCGCAAUGGGCGAAAGCCUGACGGAGCAACGCCGCGUGAGUGAAGAAGGUCUUCGGAUCGUAAAACUCUGUUAUUAGGGAAGAACAAAUGUGUAAGUAACUAUGCACGUCUUGACGGUACCUAAUCAGAAAGCCACGGCUAACUACGUG
rnacentral:rRNA from 1 species